UUUGCCAGGCUGGUCUUGAACUCCUGACCUCAGGUGAUUUGCCUGCCUCGGCCUUCCAAAGUGCUGGAAUGACAGACGUGAACCAUCGCGCUUGGCUGAAAAGUGAAAAUUUAAGCCUAGCUUACCACCUGGAAUAAAAAUGUUUUAUAGGAAUGUCUAGGUUGCUCUUUUAUAUUGAAAAAAACAUAUCAGUGUGUGUUUGACCCAAGAACCACAAGUUACUUCUUUUAAAUCAUGUUAAAUCAGUUUCAACUUUUAAAUCAUGAAUAAUAGCCUGUGUUAUCACCACAUUUAAAAAUGUGUAUCGUCAAUCACAAACACAUAUUCUAAGGAAUUGAAUUUUAUAGAGAUAAUUGAAUGCUUUCAUCUAUGAAAGAAUUAGUGGCCUGUAAACCACUGUGGAUUCUUGCUAUGCUUUGAAGUUGUUAAUGGGGGCAUUUGCUGCUGCAAGUUACUUAACACUUGUAGGCAAAGGGAAAUUCAAAUUUUUAAUUCUAAAAUGAAAACCACUGACAAAAUUUUAUACUCCGAAGGUAUAGUUAUUAGCUUAGUCAUUAUUUUCCUGUACUUUAUCGUUUCAGGAUUCAGAUGCUUAAAUUUAACAUAAUUAUUUGUUGGUAAAAUAUAUAAAACAUAAAAAGCUACUUUAGUAAACUAAAUUUUAGGAUUCGAAGUCUCUAACAAUUUCUGUGUGACAUGUCAUAUGGUGCAAUUUUUAUUUGCCAAAAUGUCUACUUCAUACUACCUAUGCACUGCUUCCUGUUUUUAUCUCUCUACACCUAACCCCCAUAAUUAAAGAAACCCCUAGAAAACUGCCUUCUUUUAGAAUACCUAAUUGAUUCCUUUAAAUAUUUUUUUCAGAAUCAAAAUUGCAAAAGGGAGAGAUAUCUGAGAAUCUGGCUUGUUUGUAUUCUUUAAAAGAUUGCAUUUGAUUGAAGAGUACUCAAACCAGAGGGACACUUGUCUUUAUAUCAAAAAGGACUUGCCAGGAAAGACAAAAAGUCUUUUAUCAUGCCAGGAGGGAUGUAAAUCCUCUAUGAAAGUGGUCUUAGAACCAAGACAACUCCAAAGUCAAGUCAAAACGCCUCUGCCAAAAGUGGGAGCCUCCGCCUGAGAGAUGACUCACCAGGGCAGAACAGAUAAGCUAUACCUGCACUGGAAGAAAAGCAAAGGACAUUCUUUAAGCUGAAAGGAAAUUAUGUAAGAGAGAAACUUGGACCUCUAGGAAAGAAUAAGGAGCAUCAGUAAUGGUAAAUAUCUGGGACAGAAGUAGAGUGGAAAUGUGAGAAGGUCAUGGACUAUGAAGUCUAACAGGAUUGGUUUUCAUCCUCAUUCUACCACUAAUAGCUUUGGCAAGUCACCUCUCUAAGCCUUAGUUCUGCCAUCUGUGAAAUGAUCCUGGAAUAAAGUAAAUAUUUCAACAAGUACAGUUUUCUUACCUAAUUCUUCCUCUCUGUGUUUUGGUGUUUUCCCAUUAUCUUACACUGCAUAACAAAGUAUCCCAAAACCUAGUCGAUUAAAAUAAGCAAAACAUUCAUUUUUCUCAGUGCAGAGGCAGUUUCUGAUAUGGCUCCUAGGAUUCUUACCCUUGGAUAAUCCCUUCCUCUGGAGCAUGAGAUAGAUGUCGUGACUUGAUUCCAAUGAAUAGAAUAUGGCAACAGAGAUGGGAUGUUGCUUCCGUGAUUAGCUUAUAAAAGACUGAAACUUUAGUGUUGCUAUCAUUUUCACUCUACUGCCUUCUUGGCUUGUGUGAAGUAAGCCAUCAUGUUGGGGAGACCCACAUGGCAAGGAGCUGAAAG